rnacentral:piRNA from 1 species
AGUGAUGUGGACAGGAGUCGAAG